AAAGACGGAGAAGAAGGAGAA
rnacentral:sRNA from 1 species